GCUUAGUCGGCUUGGCUUAGACAGGCUCCACCCCCAGCUCCAGGCUGGAGCACGUGACUGAGGGCUGGCCAAUCACGGCACUGAAUUCCUCUUGCUAGCGAUUCAUGUAGUGAUUGAGUCACUCAGGUUCCUCCAAUAGCAAUGAACCAAGGACCUAAGUGGGACGUACCAGGGAGAUAUUUUCCUCCUGAAGUUACUUACCGAAAUGGUGACGUGAGCCUGGAAUGGCCAGGAGCCACUACAUAGUACCUAAAAUAAACCCACACUGCGGGAGGCAGAGCUAAGACAGAGAAAAAUGGAAUUCUGAAGAUAUUAUUAGAGCUGCUAUCAAUCUGGCCCUAGCCCCGAACUUUUCAAUUACUUGGGCCAAUAGAUUUUCUCCUCCCACCCCAUCUUCUUGGCUGAAGCCAGUUUGAAUUAGUUUUUGUCUUUUGCCACCAACACUGAAAGAGUUUUGAUAUAGAGACGGAUGAAAAGACAGCAUUCCUGAUCCUGAGGCGGCAGACGUAAACUCAAGUGUGAGAAAUUGUUGGGAAGAUUGAAAGAGCAGAUUCGAGGAGGCUAUGCUUCAAGAGCAGCUUUCCAGAACCACACCACAGGACUGGCUGCUUCUGGGCCCCACAGCCACGAUGCCUCUGCACCAAUCAGGAAGCUGCUGGUUUUAGAAUAACCAAAUGUCUCCACCCGUGUUUGCCAGUAAAAUCAUCUCCCUAUGCCUGGUUUCCUCCUCAUCAGGCUUCAUUUUUCCUUCCAUGUUUUGUGAGGAGUCUGUCAUUACUUUUUGCCAUUAAAAGUAAUGGCAAAAUCCGCAAUUACUUUUGCACCAGCCUACUACCUUCCCAAGAGGGGACCUAGCUGUCUGGGAGUCUGGGAAAUGUAGUUUUUAGCUUUCAAGAUUUUAUUACAUAGGAAGAAGGUUAGGAUGAAUGUUGAGUAAACCAAUCUGCAAUAUUUAGCCCAGUAUUUAUUUUAUUUUAUUUUAUUUUUCUGAGACAGGGUCUCAUUCCCAUCAUCCAAGAUAAAGGGCAGUGGUGCAAUCACAGUUCACUGCAGCCUUGACUUCCCAGGCUCAGGUGAUCCUCCUAUCUCAGCCUCCUGAGUAGCCAGGACUAUAGCUGCAUGCUACCACAUUUGGCUAAUUAUAUAUAUAAUAGCAAAUAUAAAUAUAUAGUAAAACUAAAUGUAAUAUACACAUUUAGUAAAUACAGGGUUUUGCCAUGUUGCCCUGGCUAGUCUUGAACUCCUGGGCUCAAGCAUCCUGUCUGCCUCUGCCUACCAAAGUGCUGGGAUUACAGGCAUGAGCUACUAUGCCUGGCCCAUUGCCCAGUAUUUUAUUCUGAUCAUAUAAUCUACACGUUUGCCAUUUUCAGUAACCACACAUUUAUUCUUUAUAAAUUCAUUCAUUCAUUCAGUCAGUCAGUCAGUCACUCAUCAAGUGUCAGGCAGCAUGCUAGGUGCUAUGUAUCAAAGAUGAUGAAGUUAAUGUCUGCGUGGGUGGUGGAAUUUCAGAAGAUGAGGGCCAAUAGCAAAGCCAAUUGUGGAGUACUGGAGGGUGCUGACAGCCACUUCUCAUGGCCAAUCUGUUAUUUCCAUGGAAGAUUGCAGUCUCCAUGUGGUCAGAUCCCCCCACAGUCAAGCGAAGCCAAAGUCUAAAAUUUCAUGCAAAUUCUUUUUUUUUUCUUGUAACACAGAUUGUAUUUAUUUGUAGAGACAGGGUCUUGCUAUGUUUCCCAGGCUACUUUCAAACUCCUGGCCUUAAGUGAUCCUCCCACCUUAGCCUCCCAAAGUGCUAGAAAUACAUGAAUUCUUCAGAUCCUUAAAAAUCAAUGGUUCUUAAUACUAGCUGGACGUCAGGAUAACCAGGGUAUCUUUUAAAAAUUACUGAUGUCUACCCCAGCCUAAUCAUGAAAAAAACAUUAAACAAAUCCCAAAUGAGAGGCAUUGUACAAACACCUGACCAGCACUCCCCAAGACUGUCUUGAUCAUCAAAUCCAAGGUAAGUCUGAGAAACUAUGAUGACCAAGAAGAGCCCAAGGAGACACACCAGAUAAAUAGAAUGUGGUGUCCUAGAUGGGAUACUGGAACAGAAAAGAUCAUCAGGGAAGAACUGAGGAAAUCUGAAUAAAGUAUGAUAUUGGUUAAUAAUAAUGUGUAAAUAUGAGUUUAUUAAUUGUGACAAAGGUAGUAUACUAAUGUAAGAUGUUAAUAAGAGAGGAAACUGAAUGUGGGGUAUAUGGAAACACUCUGUAUUGUCUUUGCAAUAAUUGUGUAAAUCUAAAACUGUUCUAAAGUAAAAAGCUUACUAAAAACAGAUACUGACAUCUAGGACCCUUCCCAGGCAGAUUGAAGCUCAAUCAUUAAGGGGGUGGGAUUCAAACACUGACAUGUUUCGGAAAGUGUUCCAGGUGGUUCUAGUGUGCAGUUGGGGUUGAGGAUUAGUGCUUUACAUUUGGCACUAACUUAUAUAUUUUAAAAACACUGUAAUGGUAAAAUAAAACAUCUGUGGGGCCAUAUGCAGCCUGUCGCCACCAGUUUGGGAAUUCUGCUCUAUGCUUUCAAGAAAAUGAUAGUAUAGCUUGGGAGAAACACAUCAUCAAAUACACGGGUAAUGACUGAAACUUCUAUAGCCUGUGAGGAGUCCCCAAGAAGGAGCAGUGGUGCCAGUGGGAGAGGAAAAGGUGGCGGUGGUCUGAGUAACUGAGAUGACAUUCCUGAAGCACCUCCUGACGUAUUUUCCCAUUGAUCACCUAUUUCCUUUCCUUGCACCUUGCCUGCUAUCAUUGUCCUGCAGACGUGGAGUGGGGGAAGUAAAUAGAAUCUCGUGAAAGAGAAGGACUGAUCAGGCUUGCUUCUCAAAGGGUGGUCAUUGAGCAGCCUGGUUGGCAUCACCAGGGAGCUUGUUAGAAAUGCAGACUCUCAGGCCAGAUUCCAGAAUGAUUGAAUUGGAGUCUGCAUUUUAAUAGGAUCCUAAGGCGAUUUAUAUUCACUGAUGUAGAGGGCUCUUGUAAAUCAGGAAGGGAGAUUAGAAACCCAUUCCAGCACUAACAGAAGGCACCCAGGAGAGAGGAGAAAAAGGGCAAGAGUUUUUAGUGAUGAAUGUUGGACUCCUCCUUCAGAGUUGAGGAGGGUGUAGAACACCCAGGUAGUUUUGUGGCAAUGCAGAAUAUUGGGGUAGAUUCCUGCUUCUUUGGACAUUAUUUGGGGGUAAUUCAUCACAUCACCACAUCCAAUAUGACACAAGAACAGUAGAAUAGCAUUGGCAGAGGACAAAUCUAAAUAUAGGGGUGUGAGACAGUGCACCAGGUGCCUACAGCCUGCACACAGCACUGAAGACACCCAGAAGCUCCAGCAGCCUCAGUGCAGGGCUCUAAAAGAGUGGAAGGAUAGGGGCCAGAAAAGCUUCCUGGGCUCAGAAAUGAGGAGGCUUCAGAAUAUGG
rnacentral:lncRNA from 10 species